rnacentral:rRNA from 1 species
UACAGAGGGGGCAAGCGUUGUUCGGAAUUACUGGGCGUAAAGGGCGCGUAGGCGGCCCGCUAAGUCGAACGUGAAAUCCCCGAGCUCAACUCGGGAACUGCGUCCGAUACUGGCGGGCUUGAAUCCGGGAGAGGGAUGCGGAAUUCCAGGUGUAGCGGUGAAAUGCGUAGAUAUCUGGAGGAACACCGGUGGCGAAGGCGGCAUCCUGGACCGGCAUUGACGCUGAGGCGCGAAAGCUAGGAGAGCAAACGGG